UUAUUUUAUUAUUUUAUUCUCAUUCUACGUGACUUUACCAAAAGAACCAAAGAAGAUGAAUCCUUGCAGUCACGAAAGCUUUAAAUCGAAAUUUAAGACGAGCAUUGCCGAUUCCUGAGUAGAAACGUCACGUGACACAAUGGCAUUGAUUCGUGGAGAGGGAUGGGAGAAGGCUGCCAACUUGGAAGUGGCAUUAAGAAUGUGCAUGAAGAGCAACAGAUCAUUUACAUGGCCUGGGAUGGCUACGCUUGAGCCCAGUUUACGCGGUGUUAGGCAAAUAUCAAUCUGUAGAUAUCCCACAUCAAUACAGCCGAAACUUCCAUUGUUACUCAAUUCUUGCGUACGGCAACAUGCUCAGGAGCUAAACGUCGAUGUUGGAGGUCUGAUAGCCACGACAAGAGGGGUUCAUGAGGGAGUUUGUCUAGUUUUGCAACUCAGUUGGACAGCAGGCUAUAGUAGUUUACAAAAUGAUUUGUAAUGAUUUACCCUGAUGCUGCUGAUGCUGCUGCUGCCUCUAGACAUAUAAAUGCCAGUGUUUGCUCACUGUGAUUAUGGAGCAGGGGACUUUGUCCUCGAAAGCAGGUAACCAUUACACGACUGAAGGUUGCGCUUGCCAGAGAAAAACACAAGCGCGCUCGACACGUUGAGGCAUCGAGGCAUUGAGGGCGACAUGAGGCUCCAGGACGCGUUGCUGGAGCUGCCCCUGUGGUCCUACUGGGUCUUCGUGUUCCUCCCGGUGUUUCUCCUACUCGUCUUGCUCAUCGUUGUGUUGGAUGGAAAGCUGAAGCGAGAGGGUGAGCUUCCCCAGCUGAAGCCGACGCUUGCUGAACUACUGCAAUGGGAGAUGGGAGUCCCGUUAUCAAAGACGGCCUGAGACAAUCAAUAGGAAAGACCCCUAAAUCAUCCCACUCACGUGCUGCAGAGCUCGAGGAGUAGAAGGGGGCAGGAGUCGGUGGUGGGCCCCAGAGGUCCGCGAAGAGAGACAAAGGCAGUGUGGGCGCCACUGCGGGCCCUGCUGCGUCCGUGCGAGCCAAGUCACUGACCUUCACUCGUCUGUGUUGUUAUUUGUUUGUCGUCGUUGUUCAAGGUUUGUGUAGAAUCGGAAUCGCGAAGCUUUCCCUCCGUAGUGCUUACUUUAAUUGCACUACCACGCGCGGUUUAACCCAAUGACUCAAUUACCAGUCCCAACCCAAUGAUGUUACCGGCCACAGGCAUCACCACCGCGCCGAGGCAUCAUCUCCUGUCGCUCCCUCUAACAGCACAGUACACGUGGCACCACUUCCACAACCUGCCAAUGUGCUGCGGGCAUCCCCUUGGCAGGUUACCACGGCCGUGUAAUCUACCGAAGGUGAGAAAUAUCGACGUCCCACCCAAAUAACAUCCAAUCGACAAAUGCCCCCUCCAUGUAUACUCAGUGUAACAACACCGGUCGGCCCGCUCUGCAGUUCUGUAUAGUAUUGUGGUGCCACGAUGGGGAGAUGUUAAGUGCCUCACCUGCUAUGCAAGAGGUCGUGGGUUCGAUCUCGACCCUGACGCCUGUAUAUCUGGAGUUUGCAUGUUCUCUACGUGGUCGCGUUGUCUUUUCUCCGGAUCCUCCUUUUUUCUGUCAGCAUUUGGAAACGUGCGUUUAGAGUAUUUGGUUGCGAGAAAUUUCCACGUGAUAAGCCACUUCGUUGAGCUAUCCUUUGUGGCCAGGUCGUUUCUCAAAAAGAGCUAUAUAGCUCAGUGGGCCUUACCUGGUAAAAUAAAAAAAAGUUUAGUUUUUAGGAUUGCAGUAUCUUCGGUUGUGGCUGUUGGGCCCACAAAAAUGUUACUUGUUCACCCCUGGUGACUUCUCAUUGCCCCCUGUAACCACAUCACGUCUCUCUGUGCUGAGCAACCCCCCUGACACUGGGCCCAAUCCAACCUUCAGAGUUCUUACACUGACCAUCAACCGCUUUCCUAAACACGUCUUGCUUGUGUGGUCGAUUGACCUCUUAAUAUUGCCAUGAUUUCGUUCUUGAUGAUCUUCAUGAACAAUGUGUACACGUGCGAUAAUAAGCGAAUGGGGUCUGUAAUUCGAAUCAGUUUCGUGUCACCCUUGUGCAAUGGGAGGUAUCGCUCCACGUUCGAGGCGUUGCGUCUCUGUGCACGCUUUCUCCAUUGCGGUACAUUCCACACAAAUCGCGAUAAGAGGCACCUGACAAUUUGAAAGUACUGUGCUUUGUUGGAUUGUGUGAGACAAUGUGUUUAAAUUGUAACUUGUACAACGCAUGAAUUGGUAAAAUAAUAGGCAGUUUCAAAUAUUUACACUUUUACAAAAAAAAUUUCAAUCCACCUUUCGUUACGGAACCUCGUGUAACGCGAGACAUGCGUUCCGGAAAAAAACAACGCCUAAGUCGAAUCGCACUAUAUGAAGCCUAUUUUUCUAUAGAUAUACAUGUUAUUAGCACAGUUGGCUAUGUACGGUGUGAAAGAAGUUCAACAUACAUACGUUACAAGGGCGGAUGCAUUACCGAAUAAUUAAACAUUGAAUUAUUUUAGCCCUGCAUUUCCAAAAUACAUAUAAAUGCAAUACUUAAUAACAUUGCAACAACAUACUUAGUAAGGAGUUUAAUUACACGUAAUAGUAAUCAAGAUGACUUAAUGAGUAACUUCAGGGCUUCUUGAACAUUUCCGUGGUCUGCUUCUACUCAGAGCUCCGGCGGCUGUGCCCAGCCCGUGACUCUGGGCGCUGCCAUGACGCGGAGGCGCCAUCAGAAAUAUUGAAAGAAAAAAUAAAACAUUGUAUAUGAAAAA